UGGGGAAUAUUGGACAAUGGGCGGAAGCCUGAUCCAGCAACGCCGCGUGAGGGAUGACGGCCUUCGGGUUGUAAAACCUCUUUCAGCACAGACGAAGCGCAAGUGACGGUAUGUGCAGAAGAAGGACCGGCCAACUACGUGCCAGCAGCCGCGGUAAUACGUAGGGUCCGAGCGUUGUCCGGAAUUAUUGGGCGUAAAGGGCUCGUAGGCGGUUUGUCGCGUCGGGAGUGAAAACACCGGGCUUAACUCGGUGCUUGCUUUCGAUACGGGCAGACUAGAGGUAUUCAGGGGAGAACGGAAUUCCUGGUGUAGCGGUGAAAUGCGCAGAUAUCAGGAGGAACACCGGUGGCGAAGGCGGUUCUCUGGGAAUAUCCUGACGCUGAGGAGCGAAAGUGUGGGGAGCGAACAGGAUUAGAUACCCUGGUAGUCCACACCGUAAACGUUGGGCGCUAGGUGUGGGGUCCAUUCCACGGAUUCCGUGCCGCAGCUAACGCAUUAAGCGCCCCGCCU
rnacentral:rRNA from 1 species